CCAGCCGCCGCGGUAAAACCCAGCACCUCAAGUGGUCAGGAUGAUUAUUGGGCCUAAAGCAUCCGUAGCUUGUUUUGUAAGUUUUCGGUUAAAGCCAUGCGCUCAACGUAUGGGCUGCCGGGAAUACUGCAUAACUGGGAAGUGGGAGAGGUAGACGGUACUCGGUAGGAAGGGGUAAAAUCCUUUGAUCUAUUGAUGACCACCUGUGGCGAAGGCGGUCUACCAGAACACGUUCGACGGUGAGGGAUGAAAGCUGGGGGAGCAAACCGGAUUAGAUACCCGGGUAGUCCCAGCUGUAAACUAUGCAAACUCAGUGACGCAUUGGCUUGUGGCCAAUGCAGUGCUGCAGGGAAGCCGUUAAGUUUGCCGCCUGGGAAGUACGUACGCAAGUAUGAAACUUAAAGGAAUUGGCGGGGGAGCACCACAAGGGGUGAAGCCUGCGGUUCAAUUGGAGUCAACGCCAGAAAUCUUACCCGGAGAGACAGCAGAAUGAAGGUCAAGCUGAAGACUUUACCAGACAAGCUGAGAGGUGGUGCAUGGCCGUCGCCAGCUCGUGCCGUGAGAUGUCCUGUUAAGUCAGGUAACGAGCGGGAUCCCUGCCUCUAGUUGCCACCAUUACUCUCAGGAGUAGUGGGGCGAAUUAGCGGGACCGCCGCAGUUAAUGCGGAGGAAGGAAGGGGCCACGGCAGGUCAGUAUGCCCCGAAACUCUGGGGCCACACGCGGGCUGCAAUGGUAGUGACAAUUGGUUCCGAAUCCGAAAGGAGGAGGUAAUCCCUAAACGCUACCACAGUUAUGACUGAGGGCUGCAACUCGCCCUCACGAAUAUGGAAUCCCUAGUAACUGCGUGUCAUUAUCGCGCGGUGAAUACGUCCCUGCUCCUUGCACACACCGCCCGUCGUUUCAUUGAAGUUUGCUUUUAGCGAGGUGACGUCUGAUUG
rnacentral:rRNA from 1 species